UGAUUCGGCUAAAACCGCCAAAUUUUUAGCCAAAUAUUAAACUUCCCUCUCGAAUGAAAAAGGGAUCGGCCUUCGGUCAAACUCUGCUCACUCUCUCCCUCUCCCUCUCAAAAUCUCCUCCCGCUCCAAAACCCUAACCAUUGCCGCUGCUUCUUCUCCUCCACUCGCAACCCAAUCCCCGCCGCCCAGCCUUCCCUCCUCGUCUUCUCCGGCUGAACCGCCUUCAACGGCGUCGUCGAGGAGCUCAAGAACUUCACCACUCGCGUCGCCCACGUGCUUCCCGUUUCCCGUUUCCCGCGACGGAGGAAGCACUGCCGAGAUUGUCCGCGUCCUUGAGAUUGGCCGGUAAAAGCACAUCCGAGGCGGUCGCCGUCCGGCAAUUGCUUGGCCGGCCAAAAUCUCAAACCAGCUCUCCACCUCCGCCAAAAUCAAGUCGCUCUCCGACCUCUCGAUUAUCAAAUCGGCCUCCCAAUUUGAUUUUUUUUUUUGAAUUUGAUGCCAACAUUAGUUCAAUUUAAUCCAUUUGUAUGUGUUAUUUGGUUGAUUUGGAUUUGUAUAUCAGUUUGAUUUGAUUCUUUUCUUUUAAAUUUACUGAAUUGCAAUUUCAAGUUUGAAUUUUGAUCGCCUACUUGAAUUUGGUGAAUUUUGUUCAGGUGAUCUUAUAUUCCGUGCAGAAAAGAGACCUUCCUUGAUCUUAUUACUUCUGAUCUGGCCGAGUUCCAGUUUACAGAAGGUAGCCGGGAGCUCUGAGUACCAACUGGACUAGAGUGAGAUCAGUUCAUGGAACUGGCUUUGUACACCACAUAGCUAACUCAAAAGGCGAAGAAGUAUCAUGAUGGUUUCUUGCAACUAGCAAUUACUGGGUCUCAUGGAAAGCAGAUAGCUGGGCAUUGGAUCUUUUCUUUCCUCCAGAUUUUGCAGAUGAUUUCCCAGUUGCCAUACAGAACUUGACUGGAAUUAAAUGUUUAUCUGAGGCCAAAGUCGAUAAAAUUUGUAAAACUGCUGAGAAGAUAGUGGUUAGUGCUCAAACUUGUCAUAAUCUGAAAUCCAUUGUCUUCAUCAGCUUCUGGCACAAUGACAAGUCUGCAAAAAACUACUCUAAGGGUGUGGGAUGUCCUUUUCUACGAAGGGGCGAAAGUUAUGUUUCAUGUGGCUUUGGCAAUCUUUAAGAUGAAGGAACAGGAGUUGCUUCUAACCCAUCAUGUUGGCGAUGUAAUUAA